rnacentral:lncRNA from 10 species
GUCAGCUCAACUCUUUCCUCCGAAUCACCUCCCAAGUAGCAACCAUGUAAUUUCAGGAAACCCAAAGCAACUCUUAAGAAGGGCAACGUGAGUGAUCCUUGCACAGGGUGCUGACCUGAAACCUGAAACCUCUGUGGUCCUGUUUUUCAUUUCUCAGGGUGAGGGUGCCUUGCAUUUCCACCAGGGAGCCCUGAAGAAUAGUUCCUGCUGCCAUUGUCCUCUGCAGAGAGCAUCCUGCAGUUCCCACAGCAGGACUGCCGCUGCACUUAGGGCUUGCCAACAUUCUUCUGACUUCCAACCUGUCUUCAGCAGCGGGGGUGCUGGUUUCCCUUCAUAUUCUUCGCUCAUGGAAAGACCUAAGCUGACUUAUCUGUAGACUGGGCCAUUCUCAGGGAAGCCAGAUAACUCCGUGGGAUUGCCUUUAAAAACAUUACAGAAAUCUCCAUUCUGCAAAUCUAAAGAUAAAACUUCAUUUUCUGGACAAGCUGAGCUCUCAUGCAAGAGUGCAAGCAGGUUCAGUCUCAGAAGGGCAGACUUAUAGUAACCGAACUCAUUUGUAAACUGAGCAACCAAGCCCAUUUUUAAGAUCCAGAACCACUGAAGAAACUCAAGCAGUGCUCUUGGCUCUUGGCUCUUAGCUGGUGCACUCUCCCUCUGGGGGCCUACAGGAGGUCCCAAUUAUCAUUAGUGGUUGCUUGGUAAGUUAAAAAAUCUGCAUGUUUUAUGCCCUUGAACUAUAAUCAGCUGGAUGCACCUAUCGCCUCAUAGGUCUACAUUCUGUUGGAACCACAGCAGCCAAGUGCUCAGUGCAGUCGCCCUUUCUCCUUGAUGUGCUGGAUGGUCAUUACCAUAGUCUUGUGGCUGGUUGACCAGCUGUGCUACGUCCCCACUCAACACUGCAAAUGAUUGAUAUAUUCAUGGAACUAUUCUGACUCUUAAGAUGAGGGUGGCUUCCAGACGCUUCUGAGUACUGACAACAGUGUGCUCUGCUGCCAAGGCAUCCUGCCUCCCUAUGGAGAACAUGGAGUAGUCAUUUAAUACCUGCCACCCAAGGGACUGGAUGGAAGAAGGGCAGGCUUCAGAGGAUUUAUACUCUGAAGACAGUUAUGUUUGAUCUGAAAAUGAAAAAGUGGUGGGGAACCAGCACAAAGGCACUGUGUAUAAAUCAGGAAACAAGCCCUCACCAGAUACCAAGUCUACUGGCACCUUGAUCUUGGACUUCCCAUCCUCCAGAACUGUGAGAAAUAAAUUUCUGUUGUUUAUAAGUCACCCACUCCAUGGUAUUUUGUUAUGGCAGCCUGAACAGACUAAGAUAAAAUAUGACUUCCCAUUCUACAGAUAGAAAAGCUGAUGAGCAGAGAAGAUAAUUAACUUGCCUAAUGGAUACCUAGCUAGUAAGAAAGAGUGAGUGAGCUGGGACUUAAAUCCAGAGGCUGUGUUUCUGACAUCCCACAUUAAAAGCUAUUUCCCAUGUCUCCACUCCUGACCCCAGUAAAGCUAUUUCCACCCAUAUCUUUUCUGCCAGACAAUCUCAUAAGCCUCCUGACCAUUAGUUUUGCACCACAAAAU